GGAUUUUUCUGUAUGUCCCGCCUCUUCCUCCUCUCACAGUCACAUCGCUCCUGCCCAUCCAGGCCCAGCGGGCUGCUUGCUCCUUGCCUGGAGUUUUCUCAAACCCCUGCUUUGAACUUGCAGAUCCUGCCCUGAUGCCUGUCCCACUUCUCUGUUCCUGAGUCCAUCAACAACAUCACUUCUCGUCACCCAGCUCAGAAGUGCUCACCUGGUCCAUUGUGCUCCCGACUCCCCCAACUCCUCAGGACUCUGCAGGGUGACGGCCUAGAACAGGGGCGCUCACUUUCUUCCCUCUGCCCCACUCCCAGAACACUGUCCAGUACACGGUGAGCACACCAGAUGCAGUCGUUGAGUGCAGAAGUGAGUAAAGGAGCAGAGCCAUGACUGUUUCUUUAGAUGUAUUUCAAGCAUUUUGUCUCUCUGUGCCCUGUCUGGAUUUGUGUGGCCUUUCUGGACAGUGCAAGGAGAGUCCAGUGCUCCUGGCACGCCCUGGUCACAGCUCUGCAUGUGAAUUAAUGAAGGACAAUCAGCGGGACACAGGAGCACAAUGUUUAGAAUUGGAGGGAUAGUGGCCAACAGCUCAAUGGACACCUUCUGACUGACAUGAGACUCCCUCUUCUACAGCCAGUGUCUUUUAAAAUUCUUGGCAAAGCAGUGCAAACCUGCUGGGGAAGUGGCCAAGGACUGGACAGCAUAUGGAAGCCUCUGGAGUCCUAGCAAGUUACCCUGCCUCAGCCUCCAUCUCCCUCUGUUGUCUCCAGCCUCACUGGUACCUUCCGGCCUCCUCAGGAUCCUAUCUUGCCCUGCAGAUAUCUGGACUCCUGUGCCACCACACCAGAACCUCGGCAGUGCACAGCCCAUCUGCCUGUCCCCUGAGCCUGUCCCCACCACGCUCAAGGGUCAGCACAAAGAACGAACAAACCCCUGCCAUUCUCUGGGCUUUGGAACUAGCUGCAUUUUGUAUAUCUUACCCGGCCUCCGUCUCAGCCACCCGACCGAUUUCACGUCAUCUGUAGAUAACUCUACGUUUUGUCCCCUGACCGGAUGAGACACACAGGAGACGUCCUCAGACAGAUGUGCUUUGCGGGCCCCGCUGCGCCUUCUGAGCUGCUAUUUCUUCACCCAAUGUGUGUUGUGACACAGCCGGGCGUUCUUGCCUGAGCUGCUGUUUCUGGGAUUAUGUUAUCUAUUUUGAGACUCGGACUUUCCCAGAUGCAUCCCCAAAUGGUGUUUACUGCAUGUGGAGAACAUGGACCCACGGAGGAACCAAGCCAGCCAGAAGACAGGCCAUGGGGAACCUCAAAGCAAGCCUGAAGUGCCCACCUGAGGCAACGUAUUGAUCCAUUCUCCCGACAGCAGUGUGGACACCCCCCGGGGAAAGAGAUAUCUAUUUAGCAUUAACUUCAAAUCGAAGCUCACUUGUUCGGACUUUAUGUGAGUCAAAGAACGACUUGCCAGAAUAUGUGUAUAUAAAGAACGCUUUAGUUUGCACCUGCCAUCGAUGCGCUGUACUAAUCCAUCCUCGUGCACCUGUUUGACACUACAUGUUAGGUGCCCUGUGCCCCUGCCUCAAGUUACCCAGAUGUCCAGUGGUGGAGCUGCCUUCUAAACCCAGGCAGCCUGAUUUCAGGGCCCACCCAUUCUGUCUUUUGCUAUGCAUUUGUGUGUGCGUGCGUGCACACACAUACACACACACACAUACAAGCAUACACACACGGACACACACGUGUCACAUGAGCAAGCAUAUACUUAUUGACUGCAUGUGUCAA
rnacentral:lncRNA from 1 species